GUCGGACGUACCUACUAUGCACAGUCAGCUUAUCGUGGCAUUUGACGCUCAACAAGUCAUCCGAGUAUGUGAUGUGUCAACACAUUACACUUGUAUAGUAACAACGAUACUUAAAACAGACAGGCCAGCUAAGUUUCACUAGCUUUCCACAGUAUCUCGAAGUAAGUUGCAUCAGAUACUACCCACGAUUUUCCGCGCAAUAACGCGAUAUCGCCCGAGUGUGCAUUGUUUACAACUAUCAUUAUUCGAACUGCGCGUAAUUUUACUAUCAUUGCGAAAUCAUGGCACCUACGGUGACAGUUAGCAGAGAUGCGCCCGAUAUCGAAAAUAUUCUGAGCCUAAAUCCGAAGAUAAAGCCGUUCGCGAACGUGAUCCCUUCGUCGUAUACGAAAGAGAAUAAGAAGAAAUGGAAAAGGAACGUUAACGAGAAGUGCAGUAAAUGUCCGCCGUUGACGAAGAAUUUCGACGACAUCAAGCACACCACAUUGAGCGAACGCGGCGCGUUGAAGGAGGCUUCUCGCUGUUUGAAAUGCACGGACGCACCUUGCCAAAAGUCAUGCCCUACCCAGCUGGACAUCAAGUCCUUCAUCACUUCCAUUUCGAACAAGAAUUAUUACGGCGCGGCGAAAGCGAUUUUAUCGGACAAUCCGCUGGGUUUGACCUGCGGCAUGGUCUGUCCAACGAGCGAUCUUUGCGUGGGCGGAUGUAACCUGUACGCGGUGGAGGAAGGGCCCAUCAACAUCGGUGGUCUUCAGCAAUUCGCCACGGACGUUUUCAAACGGAUGAACGUGCCUCAAACCAGGAUUCCUGAACAACAGGUCCCGCACGCUGACUCUAAAAUCGCGCUGCUGGGCUGUGGUCCUGCUUCUCUGUCCUGCGCGACUUUCUUAGCGCGUCUAGGCUACGACGACAUUACAAUUUUCGAGAAACAACGCUACAUCGGUGGUCUGAGCUCUUCGGAGAUCCCUCAGUACCGACUACCGUACGACGUCAUCAACUUCGAGGUGGACCUCGUUAAAGAUUUGGGAGCGAAGAUCGAGCUGGGCAGAGCGUUGUCCACGAACGAUUUAACGAUACAGGGUCUUCGAGAUUCCGGCUACAGAGCCAUCUUCUUGGGCAUCGGUCUCCCGGAAGCGAAGACCAUCCCGAUUUUCGCGGACCUCACCGAGGAAAUGGGGUUCUUCACGUCGAAGAGCUUCCUGCCGCGGGUGGCCAAGAGCAGCAAGCCGGGAAUGUGCGCCUGUAAAAGCAACCAACUGCCCUCUUUGCACGGGAACGUUAUAGUUCUCGGAGCUGGCGACACGGCGUUCGAUUGCGCCACUUCCGCCCUGAGAUGCGGCGCGAAGAAGGUCUUCGUGGUUUUCAGAAAAGGGUUCACCAACGUUCGAGCGGUCCCCGAAGAGUUCGACUUGGCCAGAGAAGAGAAAUGCGAAUUCGUGCCUUUCCAAUCGCCGCAAAAAGUGAUCACUCGCAACGGGAGGAUAGUCGCGAUAGAAUUCUGUCGAACGGAGGAAAACGAAAAUGGCGAGUGGGUAGAAAGCGAGGAUGAAAUUUGUAGGCUGAAGGCGGAUUUCAUUAUAUCUGCAUUUGGAUCAGGAUUGCAGGAUCGUAGUGUGAUCCAAGCAAUGGCUCCCCUUAAAAUGAACAAAUGGAAUUUGCCGGAAGUGGACACAAACACCAUGAGCACAUCCGUGCCUGGUGUUUUCUGCGGCGGGGAUCUGGCUGGUAUCGCGAACACCACCGUCGAGUCCGUGAACGAUGGAAAAAUAGCUGCCUGGCAGAUCCACAAGUUCAUCCAGAACUCUCACAAUUUGGAAGUGCCCGAGGUUCCUCGACUGCCUAAAUUUCAUACUCCGAUCGACGAUGUUGACCUGAGCGUUGAAAUGUGCGGGAUGAAGUUCGAAAAUCCGUUUGGCCUCGCCUCUGCGCCACCUUGCACCACCAGCGCCAUGAUCAGACGAGCGUUCGAAGCGGGUUGGGCCUUCACUGUUACCAAAACAUUCUCCUUGGACAAAGACCUUGUCACUAACGUGUCCCCGCGGAUAAUCAGAGGUUCGACUUCGCGUCAUCUUUACGGACCGGAUCAAGGCAGUUUCCUAAACAUCGAAUUGAUAUCCGAGAAAACGGCAGCUUACUGGUGCAAGAGCGUCACGGAACUGAAGAAAGAUUUCCCCACUAAGAUUAUUAUAGCUAGUAUUAUGUGCACGUACAAUAAAGCAGAUUGGACGGAGCUUGCUCAACAAGCUGAAUCUGCUGGUGCGGAUGGCUUGGAAUUGAAUCUGUCUUGUCCACACGGAAUGGGAGAGUCUGGAAUGGGCCUAGCUUGUGGACAAGAUCCUGAACUGGUGAGAAACAUCUCGAGAUGGGUCCGGGCGGCUGUGAAGAUACCAUUCUUCGUGAAACUGACGCCAAACAUCACCGACAUUGUUUCAAUAGCUAAGGCGGCGUACGAAGGUCAAGCUGACGGAGUGUCUGCCAUAAACACUGUGUCAGGAAUAAUGGGUUUGCAUGCUGAUGCAACCCCAUGGCCAGCCGUUGGUAUCAAAAAGGCCACUACCUAUGGUGGUGUUUCGGGGAACGCAACGAGACCUCAAGCUUUACGAGCCGUUUCCUCCAUUUCGAAAAGCAUCCCAGGAUUCCCCAUACUCGGAAUCGGUGGUGUCGAUUCAGCAGACGUUGCUCUACAAUUUCUUCACUGCGGUGCAUCGGUUGUGCAGGUCUGUAGCGCCAUACAGAAUCAAGAUUUCACUUUGAUCGACGAUUAUGUAACUGGCUUGAAAGCUUUGCUGUACUUGAAGAGCCUGAAGCAGGUGAAAGACUGGGACGGACAGAGUCCGCCGACCUUCAGCCAUCAAAAGGGAAAACCGGUUUCCUUGCAACAUGCUCUUGGCAAGAAUAUACCGUACUUCGGGGAAUAUCAGAAGCUUCGAGAACGGAAGCUAGCCGAGAUUAAUGCAAGCUCGAAUCCGCUCGAGAAGACCGUCGAGGUUACAAGACCGGCGCCGAAACCAAUCGCGCCUGUACCAACGAUAAAAGACGUUAUUGGCAGAGCUGUAGAUCAUAUCGGAACUUUCAAGGAGCUGACCACCAAACAGCAAGUGGUAGCAUUGAUAGACGACGAUAUGUGUAUAAAUUGUGGAAAGUGCUACAUGGCCUGCGCAGACUCUGGUUACCAGGCGAUCCAGUUCGACGGUGAAACUCACAUUCCAAAAGUGACCGACGACUGUACAGGCUGUACCCUCUGCCUCUCAGUGUGCCCCAUUAUCGAUUGUAUCACUAUGGUGCCUAAAACGAUACCCCACGUCGUCAAAAGGGGAAUACCGCCAGAAGGAGCUUUCGAACUUCCUUGAGCACGAUCAACAUGCGUGCUUUUGUUAUUAAAAAUGAUUAUAUUUAUUACCCAUUUUAUAAAAAUUCUUUAACCCCUCCGACCCGACACCUGUACGCCAUACUGACUCAAAGAGGAUUGUGUUUAGAAAAGCGUUCUGGAGCAUGUAGUACAAAACUUAACUACUUAGGCAGAGAGCAUAACAACUUUCUCAAUUAUUCAUUAGAGCAGGGGUAACGAACUGGCGGCUCGCGAGGCAGUUAUGGCUCCUCCCUCUACUUUCCUGUUCCACUCCAGCGCGGAAGAACUUCCCCCUCUGUUUCCACUAUCCAGAGCUGGGACGAAGGCUCCUGGCUGGGCACCUAAUUAGCGAGGAACCUGAUCACGUUACCGUUGCUGUUAUCCUGUAGCCUAAUGGCAUGGUCUGCAAGGUCUGAACACUCACAUUUGAAUUUGGUAUGUAAACAAUGAGAAUUCCUAAACUAUCAUAUCUGUUUCUCUAAACAACAUUCUUUUCUAAUUACUCUUUAAUUAUCUCACAAACGAAAAAAUGAUUUU